UAAUAAGUGUUUUAUGGCACUUUUUAAAUCCAUAUCCACCUUGUGUGCAAUGUCAGUCGAUCUUCUUCAUGGAGAUCGACCAAACAUCAACCUUUAUUUUUUAACUCUUUGUCUGAAAAAUAUUAUGAAUAAACAAUUCAAAACA
rnacentral:misc_RNA from 1 species